UGCGUAAUUAUUUCAGCAUUUUUCAAAUGUAAUUACAUUUCUGCAUUGCCAAAUUGUUUCGAUAUUAGGUAACUUUACUACCCAUUUAUUGUGACAAAUCAGACACACCUUAUAUAUUCGAAGAACUUUGGUGCUCGUCUUGCUGGACGGUUGACAGCUUGAACUAACGUUUCAUUGUGUUUGAAAUUUUCACGCUUCAAACAAGUCGCUCUGUUUCUGCUGCUAUUUUUUCAUUUAUAAUCAGUUAAUUUGCCAAUAAACGCAGAAAAUUUGGUGAAAAUGUGAAAAAAGCUUGCUGCUCUUCCCGCUGGCCCUGCGGAAGGCUAAUUUGGCUGAGAUUUUACAAGUUAGCCAUCUCCUAGUGGACUGAAUCAACUGGAACCGGCCCUCAAUGUUCUCCGCCGUGAAAUCAUUUUGUUUCUUCGAAACAGGUUCAUCAAUCAACUCGGGAGUGCGAGAGCUCGAGCCUCGUUGCCGAGCCAUGGAUGGCGCCGCGAAAGUUCUCAAUUCUUGAAUGUUCCGCCCUGAAGGAUGCCCAACACAGGAAAAGAAAAUAAUUUGGAAAUAAAUAAUGCUGUGUGGAAA